UCUUUCUCCAGCAAAACCUAGCUAUGCUCUCACCACCACCAUCACCACCACCACUACCACCGAUCUCUUCUCUUUCACUUUCUCUAUACGAAAAGAUUGUUGAAUUUGUAUAUCUGAUCUUUCUCAAGCAAAACCCUAAUAUUUCUUACAAAGUUAGGGUUUGCAUCGCAAAUAAAACUGCAGCUGAGGAGUUAUUCGAUAUUAUAAGGGUGGUUAGGGUUUUCAAUCUCUCGAGGAGUCGUCUUCAUCAAACCUAUGACAAUGGUAGAGAUGAUGCGCCACCUCAAUUAGAUGUUUAAGUGUUCAAGUUAAUUUCUUAAUGAAUGUUUUUUUCUCCUCUACCAGAAUUCUUCCUAAGGAUUAGGUUUUCAGAGUACAAGAGUUCAUCAUGGAAAUUCAAUGGCACCAAAGAGUAGAAAGCCCUAGCUCCCAAAACUCUUCAAAGCCAGCCAAAUCUGGUGGUGGUAAACAAAAAAAGGCUAUGACGAAUGAUCAAUUUGAUAACUAUAUAAUGCAAAAAAGUAUUGGAGACUCGUUACGAGUACAAGUAUAAAACUAUCUCUAAUUAAAGUAGUAACUAAUAUUUCUGGUAGAUUUGUGGCUGCUUCUUGAAGGUUUUUAAAAGGAGCUUCUAGCAUUAAUAAGAACUUCUAUCUGUACCCUGCAAAAGAUAUCUUGCCUUACUGUCAAGCACUUGAGAAGCUCGCUCGCUAUAGUUGAUCUCCACUUUUCUCAUGUCAGGUUGGAAGUGGUCCCUUGCUGGAUCUAGCAGCUCGCUUUUUUCGAUUAAUGUGAGUCUUUCCGUUCUCACCUUUCAAAUUAUAUGGAUCUUCAAGAAACUCAUAUUUGUGUCGCCCAUUUGCAUGGAUAAAAGCAAGAAAUAAGCACUUUCAUGUGAGUAUUUUACUGAUCUCUUUGGUCUAAGUUUAGGAAAUUUAGUUAAUUGAAGUACUAAAGGCUUCCACUUUUGAAUGUGUCCGGGUUUGUUAUGAAUACAUGGCGGAGAAAGGGAAUGAAUAACUCCAGUUCAUACGCCACCACUGCACCACCAGUCCUUCAUUCCACUACCACCUGAUAUUGCUUUGGUUUGCUAAUUUGGCUUCAAAUUGUGAAUUCAUGAUCAGAUGAUUGUGUAGGAAGGAGCAAAAGCUACAAUAGAGACUGUUGAUGCAUUAAGAAGUGGAGCUGCUGCAAAAAGCAACAUGUUGAGCAGCUUCACUGAAAGUGGGGUGCGACAUCUAGAACAUUGCUCUUGUUGGUUCCAGUAGAAAUGCCUCACAAUCCAUGGUGACAACUUAAACUUCAACCUCUGGGCAUGCCUCAUGCAGCAAAAAUGUUCACCUAGGUAGCUGGUUUCCAUAGUUCCAAAGAAUGUGAGUUCUUUUUUCUUUAAAUUGUUAUGUAAGGACCUUGAUGGAAUACUGAAUUUAUAGAUUUAUCCACAUGACAAUCCUUCAUAUGAUUUUUUUAAUGUGCUUCA